AUCUCUUUCCCCUUAUUCUAGUCAAGUCUAUGGAUGACCACAUCACUGCUAGCUUCAAGAUUGUAGUCGACUCUUUCCGAGCCUUUGUCUCCGUCCAUCGGCAUUUGGGGUUUUCUCUACAGUUUCUUCCAAAUUUCUUGGUGAAUCAGGCUAUUUCUGAGUCAAAUCUUGGACUGGAGUCGACCUUGUUUUGAAUCGCAUUCGAUUUCUUAUGGCCAGACGAGAUAUUUCCACCCCUCAAGCAACCUACAUUAGAGAAUUUGUUCUUUUUAAUGUGAGUUAGUUCUUUUUGUACAUCGAUUACUAGAUUAAAUACUCUUUAUGAAUGCCCAUAUUGUGAUAUUUUUAUAUUGUUCAUGCUUAACAUGUCUUUGAAAGAUACUUAUCUAAACUCUAUAUACAUAGUUUCUGCUUUCUAAUUGAAACUUAUUAUCAUAUUCUUUCAGUGAAUUGGAAAAACAAAUCAUUUCUAUAUUGUAAUUUGUAUAGAGGUUGCAUCUUUUUACAUUUUCUUUUACCUUUUUAAAGGUUUGGUAUAUCUCUUUUCAAUUCUUGAUUCUCACUUAAAUCUAUCUUUGAUAUUGGGAUGUUUGGAAUCGAACUAAAUUUGAUCCUUUUAUUCCUUUGUUAUUGUUUUUCUUUUAUGAAGAAAAGAUUAAGGCAUGCUCAUUUUGAAUUUUGUGAGAGAUACCUAAUUGAUUCAUCUAUGAAGAAAACAUUUAUGUCCCUU